rnacentral:rRNA from 1 species
UACAGAGGGUGCGAGCGUUGUCCGGAAUCACUGGGCGUAAAGGGCGCGUAGGCGGCUUGAUAAGGUUGCGGUGAAAGCCCGGGGCUCAACCCCGGGUCGGCCGUGGCAACUGUCGAGCUGGAGCACUGUAGAGGCAGGUGGAAUUCCGGGGUGUAGCGGUGGAAUGCGUAGAGAUCCGGAAGAACACCGGUGGCGAAGGCGGCCUGCUGGGCAGUGGCUGACGCUGAGGCGCGACAGCGUGGGGAGCAAACAGG